AGUGGCCUAAUAGGUUAUGAGCCUGGGUAAGCGCGACUGCUACAGGGUGUGCCAACAUGCUAUCACAGGUUCAAAUCAGACCAAGGCCAGAAUAAUAUCCCUUACCAAGGUGGGGGAGAUUGGUGGUUAGACACCCAGGAAGACCCCCACCAAGGAUCAAUGGCAGUAGGGUAGUGGAACUUAAGGAAGAGCCAGGUCCCCCCCAGCUGGCCGGAUGGUAGAGUGGGUCCGAGGGGGGGUGUUGGGGGGAUUGGAUUGGGUGAUUCGUACCCUCUACCACCACGGCGCUGGUGGUGAUUGAGCUCUUUUGCCCUAGUGGCCUAAUAUUACCCGCUAGGCUGCUUACUGGUCUCAGACACCAACGUAGAGUAUGACCGGAUUAGGGAAGAAAAGACAAGAAAAGAAAGAAAAGAAAAAGACUGUAU
rnacentral:sRNA from 1 species